AUUGAACGCUGGCGGCAGGCUUAACACAUGCAAGUCGAGCGGUAGCACAGGGGAGCUUGCUCCCUGGGUGACGAGCGGCGGACGGGUGAGUAAUGUCUGGGAAACUGCCUGAUGGAGGGGGAUAACUACUGGAAACGGUAGCUAAUACCGCAUAACGUCGCAAGACCAAAGAGGGGGACCUUCGGGCCUCUUGCCAUCAGAUGUGCCCAGAUGGGAUUAGCUAGUAGGUGGGGUAAUGGCUCACCUAGGCGACGAUCCCUAGCUGGUCUGAGAGGAUGACCAGCCACACUGGAACUGAGACACGGUCCAGACUCCUACGGGAGGCAGCAGUGGGGAAUAUUGCACAAUGGGCGCAAGCCUGAUGCAGCCAUGCCGCGUGUGUGAAGAAGGCCUUCGGGUUGUAAAGCACUUUCAGCGAGGAGGAAGGUGGUGAGCUUAAUACGUUCAUCAAUUGACGUUACUCGCAGAAGAGGCACCGGCUAACUCCGUG
rnacentral:rRNA from 1 species